rnacentral:rRNA from 1 species
UACGUAGGUGGCAAGCGUUACUCGGAAUCACUAGGCGUAAAGCGCAGGUAGGCGGUUCGGUAAGUCUCUUGUGAAAGCUCCCGGCUCAACUGGGAGAGGUCAAGGGAAACUACCGGACUAGAGUGUGGCAGAGGAAGCUGGAAUUCCCGGUGUAGCGGUGAAAUGCGUAGAGAUCGGGAGGAAUACCUAUGGCGAAAGCAGGCUUCUGGGCCGUCACUGACGCUGAUCUGCGAAAGCUAGGGGAGCAAACAGG